rnacentral:rRNA from 1 species
CAGUAGCCGCGGUAAUACGUAGGUCCCGAGCGCUGUCCGGAUUUAUUGGGCGUAAAGGGAGCGCAGGCGGUUUAGUAAGUCUGAAGUUAAAGGCAUUGGCUCAACCAAUGUAUGCUUUGGAAACUGUUAGACUUGAGUGCAGAAGGGGAGAGUGGAAUUCCAUGUGUAGCGGUGAAAUGCGUAGAUAUAUGGAGGAACACCGGUGGCGAAAGCGGCUCUCUGGUCUGUCACUGACGCUGAGGCUCGAAAGCGUGGGUAGCGAACAGGAUUAGAUACCCGCGUAGUCCCUGUCUCUUAUACA